UACGUAGGCAGCGAGCGUUGUCCGGAUUUAUUGGGCGUAAAGAGCGUGUAGGCGGUCUGGUAGGUCCGUUGUGAAAACUCGAGGCUCAACCUCGAGACGCCGAUGGAAACCAUCAGACUAGAGUCCGGAAGAGGAGAGUGGAAUUCCUGGUGUAGCGGUGAAAUGCGCAGAUAUCAGGAAGAACACCCGUGGCUAAGGCGGCUCUCUAGUACGGUACUGACGCUGAGACGCGAAAGCGUGGGGAGCGAACAGG
rnacentral:rRNA from 1 species